rnacentral:rRNA from 1 species
CACGGGGGGAACGAGCGUUGUUCGGAUUUACUGGGCGUAAAGGGUGCGUAGGCGGGUUGGCAAGUCGGGUGUGAAAUUCCAUAGCUUAACUAUGGACCUGCAUUCGAAACUGUUGAUCUUGAGUACUGGAGAGGUGAGUGGAAUUCUCGGUGUAGCGGUGAAAUGCGUAGAUAUCGAGAGGAACACCGUUGGCGAAGGCGGCUCACUGGACAGAUACUGACGCUGAGGCACGAAGGUCGGGGGAGCAAAC